AAGAACACAGUAGCAUCCUAUACAUCCCCAGUUCACUCAACUCCGGCAAGUAAUGUUUCUAUGGGACAUCAGUGGGGUAAUAAUAGCAAAAUGAAGUUUUCCAGUAGUGUUGUUAAUGCAAGUGCAACCCAUUUCGUUAAGGAUGCAUCAGGGAUAAGACCACAGUUUAAGCCGGAUGUGCAUACUCAGACACCAGCAGUUCCUGCUGGAAAUUAUUUUGUGAAUGCUGCAUCUUGGUCUGCCCAACCUCAUCCCAGUUCCUCCACCAUAUCAUUUGGUACUCCAUCAGAGAGUUAAGUUCACGUUCCGAGUUCUUCAAGAGUCACAGAUACGAGCUUUAGACCAUUCAUGUCUCAAACUCAGCCAGGUGCAUUCCCAGGGAUGAAAGGUGCGACUUAUGGUCAGACAUCUUCACCUUUUGAAAACAACCACCAUGCUGAAAUCGCCAAGAUUAUCCACAAGGUUCUGCAACCGCGGGCGAAACAAAACCUCUUGUGGAAUCCACCUUCAAGUUAACCAUCUCCAAAGGAGAUUGAGCUAAUCUUCAAUCACAGCUUAUGCAGAGAGAAUCAGAAUGGCGGAGCUGGAGAAGUGCAUGUCCAAAAUGUGAGAUGACAUCAACAAGAAAACGACGGGAGCGGUUGAUGACUUAAGCCGAGGUAUUGUGAACAGAUUCUUGCAUGGUCCAAUGCAGCAUUUGAGAUGUGAUGGGAGUGACAGUAGAUAGUGAGACUCUUGAGAACAUGCAUGCUUUGAACAGAAUGUACAGAAGGACAUUUUGGAGGAGAAGCUUAAGACCAUGACAUCGGGACAACAGAAGUAAAAGACAAGAAAGAUGUUCCAUCUCUUUUGUCAAAACAAAUAUUACGCCUUAAGCUGGGGAUGUAUAUGAUUCAUUUGAUUUAUGUACAAGAGACUGUUUCUUAAGCUAACAUUCUAUAUCUUCUAAUCGUUGUGAAGUUUAAGUGAGUUUUGUGGCAUCUGUUAUGCUUCAUUGACUCUUGAGGUGUAAUGGUAUUGAUCCAAAGACCGUUACUCAUGUGUAAUGUAUAAACUUUGGUUCAUGCAGUAUAGAGAAAUGUGUUUUUUUUGCC